GAGCGCCAGUGCAGCUUCUUGACAGUGGCCUUAGACAUGUUGACAGCGCUGAAAGAAAGAAGUGAUACAGGGAGAGAUUAAGACAAAGAAAGAGGGACUGUGUGCCACCAGAGAUGAAGUGCAGAGAGAAGAUAAAUCCUUCUGGACCUUCAGAGAAACAUAACUCUGUCAGAUGACGUUACAUCUCAGAUCAGAGCCCAAUAAGAUGUAAUCACUUGCAGACAUGUGUAAUAUCUCUCUGCGCCAUCACUGCGGAUCGCUACUGUGAAAAGAAGCUCAGGUUUGGCAACAAGGAAGCGAUGAUAAGGCAGCCAAGCGGAGGGGAGGAGAGGAGGAGGAGGCAGGAAUGGGGAGGAUACGCCGUGUAUAACGGGGAAGGAUCGGACCGCCUAUGGUCAGAAGCGAUUGGACAGCGCGGUGCGAGACUGGGAAUACAUGAACGCGCCGUGACUCCUUACCCAAAUACUUCAAGACACACUUGAAUUGAUAAUGAACAGGAAUGCACGCUUUUCAUUGCGUAUGCAAAUGUGCAAAACAUGCUAAAUAAAGAAGCAUGUGAGAUGAGAAAGCACGCUUUAUACUAAGUAUUUUGUUUAGACUUUACAAAAAACCUCAAAAUGCUGUUCAAACAGUACGUGAAAAAGAGA